UGGGGAAUCUUAGACAAUGGGGGAAACCCUGAUCUAGCCAUGCCGCGUGGACGAUGAAGGCCUUAGGGUUGUAAAGUCCUUUCAGCUGGGAAGAUAAUGACGGUACCAGCAGAAGAAGCCCCGGCUAACUCCGUGCCAGCAGCCGCGGUAAUACGGAGGGGGCUAGCGUUGUUCGGAAUUACUGGGCGUAAAGCGCACGUAGGCGGAUUGGAAAGUUGGGGGUGAAAUCCCGGGGCUCAACCUCGGAACUGCCUCCAAAACUAUCAGUCUUGAGUUCGAGAGAGGUGAGUGGAAUUCCGAGUGUAGAGGUGAAAUUCGUAGAUAUUCGGAGGAACACCAGUGGCGAAGGCGGCUCACUGGCUCGAUACUGACGCUGAGGUGCGAAAGCGUGGGGAGCAAACAGG
rnacentral:rRNA from 1 species